rnacentral:tRNA from 1 species
GCGCCUGUAGCUCAGUCCGGACAGAGCAACGGCCUUCUAAGCCGUGGGUCAGGGGUUCGAAUCCCUUCAGGCGCGCCA